rnacentral:lncRNA from 1 species
ACCAAAUCCCGCCAUGGCCACCUCAAGAAUUCAGCCUCCGCCGCCGCCGCCGCAGUCGAAGCUUAUGGACCUCGAUGUCACCAUCGUCUCCGCAAAGCAUCUCAAAAACGUCAACUGGCGCAACGGGGACCUCAAACCCUACGCCAUCUUCUGGGUUGACCCGGAACGCCGAUUUGCUACCAAACCCGACGACUGUGGAUCGACUCGGCCGGUUUGGAAUGAGCACUUCUCCAUCCCCAUCAACACCCCUCCCUAUGACUCCGUCUUCACUCUUGAGAUUUUUCACUCCAAGCCCUCCGAAACCCCCAAACCGCUUGUGGGUGUUCUUCGAUUUCCGAUCAAGGACCUGGUUGACUCGGACGAGUCAGCCAACUCCAUAAGGACGCUUGAACUUCGACGUCCUUCCGGCCGUCCCAACGGCAAAAUCCGGAUAAAGCUCGCCCUCCGUGAGAGGCCGCCGCCGACGCCAGAUUACCAUAUUGCCCCCCAAUCAAGCUAUUAUUACUCCAGUGCCCCUCCCCCUCCCCCUCCUGCGCGCGACUACAGGGGAUUCUCGUCCUCGCCCUACACCACCCAUCCUCCCCCUCCGGCGCCGGCCCCAUCCUCCGCUGCGCCGUACUCGUACGGCGGGUACUCCGACCCAUAUUCUGGGUACUAUGGUUAUUAUUCGCAGCAGCCACCCGUACCGCCGCCUAGGCCG